GGAUUUCCGUGACGCAGCUAACGCAUUAAGUUCCCCCGCCUGGGGGAGUACGGCCGCAAGGCUAAAACUCAAAGGAAUUGACGGGGACCCGCACAAGCGGCGGAGCAUGCGGAUUAAUUCGAUGCAACGCGAAGAACCUUACCAAGGCUUGACAUAUACGAGAACGGGCCAGAAAUGGUCAACUCUUUGGACACUCGUAAACAGGUGGUGCAUGGUUGUCGUCAGCUCGUGUCGUGAGAUGUUGGGUUAAGUCCCGCAACGAGCGCAACCCUCGUUCUAUGUUGCCAGCACGUAAUGGUGGGAACUCAUGGGAUACUGCCGGGGUCAACUCGGAGGAAGGUGGGGAUGACGUCAAAUCAUCAUGCCCCUUAUGUCUUGGGCUUCACGCAUGCUACAAUGGCCGGUACAAAGGGCUGCAAUACCGCGAGGUGGAGCGAAUCCCAAAAAGCCGGUCCCAGUUCGGAUUGAGGUCUGCAACUCGACCUCAUGAAGUCGGAGUCGCUAGUAAUCGCAGAUCAGCAACGCUGCGGUGAAUACGUUCCCGGGUCUUGUACACACCGCCCGUCAAGUCAUGAAAGUCGGUAACACCUGAAGCCGGUGGCCUAAC
rnacentral:rRNA from 1 species